rnacentral:misc_RNA from 1 species
CAAAUGAGGCUACAAAAUUUCAGAAUUCAAUAGAAGAACUGCAAAAGAAGAUAGAAGAAACAAAUACAUUGCUAGUAAAGGAACGAGAGGCUGCAAAGAAGGCUAUUGAAGAAGCACCUCCUGUUAUCAAAGAAACUCAAGUACUUGUUGAAGAUACAAAGAAAGUUGAGUCUCUAACAGCAGAAGUGGAAAAACUAAAGGAAUCUUUGGAUUCUGAGAAACAAAGAGCUGAUAGCAAUGAAAAGAAAUACAAUGAAGUCCGAGAGUCUAGUGAGGAAAGACAAAAAAAAUUAGAUGACACUGAGAAAAAGUUUCAACAGCUUCAGGAAUCUUUGCAGAGGCUAGAAGAGAAGCUCACAAAUUUAGAAUCAGAGAAUCAAGUUCUGCGGCAACAGGCUGUGUCCAUGGCACCAAAUAAGUUUCUUUCAGGACGCUCCAGAUCAAUUAUGCAGCGGGCCGAAAGUCACAUUCCAGUGGAAGCAAAGGCAGGCUUGGAACUGCAUAGCGCUUCCAUAAACCAUAGGGACCUCUCUGAAGUAGAUGAUAAACCUCAAAAGUCACUAAAUGAGAAACAACAAGAGAACCAGGAGUUGCUUAUUCGCUGCAUUGCACAACACCUAGGCUUUUCAGGGAACAGACCCAUUGCUGCCUGUAUCAUAUACAAAUGCCUUCUGCAAUGGAGAUCAUUUGAAGUUGAGCGGACUAGUGUCUUUGAUCGGAUAAUUCAGACCAUAGGCCACGCUAUUGAGACACAGGAUAACAAUGAUGUAUUGGCAUACUGGUUAUCCAAUGCAUCAACACUUCUCUUGCUACUUCAGCG